rnacentral:rRNA from 1 species
GAUGAACGCUGGCGGCGUGCUUAACACAUGCAAGUCGAACGAAGCACUUAAGAUUGAUUCUUCGGAUGACGUCUUUUGUGACUUAGUGGCGGACGGGUGAGUAACGCGUGGGUAACCUGCCUCACACAGGGGGAUAACAGUUAGAAAUGACUGCUAAUACCGCAUAACCCGAUAGGAUCGCAUGAUCCAGACGGAAAAGAUUUAUCGGUGUGAGAUGGACCCGCGUCUGAUUAGCUAGUUGGUGAGGUAACGGCCCACCAAGGCGACGAUCAGUAGCCGGCCUGAGAGGGUGAACGGCCACAUUAGGACUGAGACACGGCCCAAACUCCUACGGGAAGCAGCAGUGGGGAAUAUUGCACAAUGGGGGAAACCCUGAUGCAGCGACGCCGCGUGAGUGAAGAAGUAUUUCGGUAUGUAAAGCUCUAUCAGCAGGGAAGAAAAUGACGGUACCUGACUAAGAAGCCCCGGCUAACUACGUG